CACUUUAAUUCCCAGGGGUCUUGUUCAAAUGCAGAUUCUGAUUCAGUCAGCCCUGAAAUUCUGCACUUCUAGCCAGCUCCCAGGAGUUGCUGCU
rnacentral:pre_miRNA from 1 species